rnacentral:rRNA from 1 species
GACGAACGCUGGCGGCGUGCUUAACACAUGCAAGUCGAGCGGUAAGGCCCUUUCGGGGGUACACGAGCGGCGAACGGGUGAGUAACACGUGGGUGACCUGCCCUCAGCUCUGGGAUAAGCCUGGGAAACCGGGUCUAAUACUGGAUAUGACUCCAUGACGCAUGUUGUGGGGUGGAAAGCCUUGUGCGGCUGAGGAUGGGGCCCGCGGCCUAUCAGCUUGUUGGUGGGGUGANGGCCUACCAAGGCGACGACGGGUAGCCGGCCUGAGAGGGCGACCGGCCACACUGGGACUGAGACACGGCCCAGACUCCUACGGGAGGCAGCAGUGGGGAAUAUUGGACAAUGGGCGAAAGCCUGAUCCAGCAAUGCCGCGUGUGUGAAGAAGGCCUGCGGGUUGUAAAGCACUUUCAGUAGGGGAAGAAAAGCUUGGUGUGAAUAGCGCCGAGUCUUGACGUUACCAAAGAAGAAGCACCGGCUAACUCCGUGCCAGC